rnacentral:rRNA from 1 species
CCAUGCCGUAAACGAUGUGUGUUAGACGUUGGAAAUUUAUUUUCAGUGUCGCAGCGAAAGCAAUAAACNCCCCCGCCUGGGGAGUACGACCGCAAGGGUAAAACUCAAAUGAAUUGACGGGGACCCGCACAAGUAGUGGAGCAUGUGGUUUAAUUCGAAGAUACGCGCAGAACCUUACCAACACUUGACAUGUUCGUCGCGACUCUAAGAGAUUAGAGUUUUCGGUUCGGCCGGACGAAACACAGGUGCUGCAUGGCUGUCGUCAGCUCGUGUCGUGAGAUGUUGGGUUAAGUCCCGCAACGAGCGCAACCCUCACUUUUAGUUGCCAUCAUUUGGUUGGGCACUCUGAAAGAACUGCCAGUGAUAAGCUGGAGGAAGGUGGGGAUGACGUCAAGUCCUCAUGGCCCUUAUGUGUUGGGCUACACACGUGCUACAAUGGCAUUUACAACAGGAAGCAAGAUGGCGACGUCAAGCAAAUCCUAAAAAAAUGCCUCAGUUCGGAUUGUACUCUGCAACUCGAGUACAUGAAGCUGGAAUUACUAGUAAUCGCGGAUCAGCGCGCCGCGGUGAAUGCGUUCCCGGGUCUUGUACACACCGCCCGUCACACCAUGGGAGUUGGUUCUACCUUAAGGCAAGGUUUAAAACCCUUGGCUACGGUAUAGUCAGCGACUGGGGUGAAGUCGUAACAAGGUA